GGUGCUUCUCAGCCUUUUGGCUAAGAUAAAGUGUAGUAUCUGUUAUUAUCAGUUUAAUAUCUGAUACAUCCUCUAUCCGAGGACAAUAUAUUAAGUGGGUUUUUAAAGCUGGGAGAUGGAAUAGGAGCUUGCUCCAUCCACUCCAUGCAUCAACGUGGUAUUGCAGUACCUCCAGGGACAGUGUACCCCUU